UACGGGGGGGGCAAGCGUUGUUCGGAAUUACUGGGCGUAAAGGGCUCGUAGGUGCCAACUAAGUCGGACGUGAAAUCCCUCGGCUUAACCGGGGAACUGCGUCCGAUACUGGUUGGCUUGAGUUUGGGAGAGGGAUGCGGAAUUCCAGGUGUAGCGGUGAAAUGCGCAGAUAUCAGGAAGAACACCCGUGGCGAAAGCGGCUCUCUGGAACGGUACUGACGCUGAGACGCGAAAGCGUGGGGAGCGAACAGG
rnacentral:rRNA from 1 species